rnacentral:rRNA from 1 species
GAUGAACGCUGGCGGCGUGCCUAAUACAUGCAAGUCGAGCGAACAGACGAGGAGCUUGCUCCUCUGAUGUUAGCGGCGGACGGGUGAGUAACACGUGGAUAACCUACCUAUAAGACUGGGAUAACUUCGGGAAACCGGAGCUAAUACCGGAUAACAUGUUGAACCGCAUGGUUCAACAGUGAAAGACGGUCUUGCUGUCACUUAUAGAUGGAUCCGCGCCGCAUUAGCUAGUUGGUAAGGUAACGGCUUACCAAGGCAACGAUGCGUAGCCGACCUGAGAGGGUGAUCGCCCAGACUGUAACUGAGACACGGCCCAGACUCCUACGGGAGGCAGCAGUAGGGAAUCUUCCGCAAGGGGCGAGAGCCUGACAGAGCAACGCCGCGGGAGUGAAGAAGGUCUUCGGAUCGUAGAGCUCUGUUAUUAGGGAAGAACAAAUGUGUAAGUAACGAUGCACGUCUUGACGGUACCUAAUCAGAAAGCCACGGCUAACUACGUG